rnacentral:lncRNA from 1 species
CAAUGGCAUAAGAACGGUGGCAUUUGGCAGCUAAAAGCCUAUCUUUAUUAGUGUGCGAAAAGUAAAUCUAUAAAUUUAGUACUAUAACGCACGAUAAUAUGCCGAAAUUGUUUUACCUUUUUUGAUACACCCUGCACUAUACAUGUUGAAGGGUUUUCGAGAUUUCCGCCAUCUACAAAAAAACAAUUCAACAUUUAAUAUCGACUGUCAUGAGAUGCGUGAAUUCCUGAUAUUUACCCAUAUACCUUACAUUGUCAUCACGUAGUAUGUACUGUAUACAUGAACUUGUGGUUGAAACUCGACAAGUGGAUUCUGUAGCUCAGUUGGUUAGAGUGCUGCACCGGAAUCGCAGGGUCGCAGGUUUGAUUCCUGCCAGAGGGUCUAUAUAGUUGCAUUUUUUGCAGCUGCUCCUGGUUUGGUGUAUAAACGUAUAAAAUUUACACUCGAGAUUUCCAUCUACAAAAACUCUUCAACAUUUAGUAUCGAGUGAGGUGUCCAAAAUCCUGUAUUAUAUGUUCAUUUUUUCCUUGAUCAUGAUAUAGUCGUAAUCAAUGACUUGUAAGCUUUCUCAGUAAUUCUUGUAUGUACAUAUUCAAUGUAUCAUGAAUAUGGCCGCCGAGAGGUUCAACGCUGAGCCCAGGCCAAAACUUUUCAAGGACCCGCUAUGAUGUCAUAAUUGUAAAAGGGGAGAAGCGUGUUUUACAAUAUAUCACAAUGUGAUCACAAUUUAUUACAUUUUUGUCUGACACUAACGCAGCUAGGAUUUAUAUGCUUAGUAGCAAUUGUAUCCAGAAAUUUUAAAGGCCAUCGUUGCUUUGGGG